AGUGUAUGCAAAAUAAAAAAAAGAACAGAAACGGAAAAUGCCAACAAUAUUAAAAGCAGUGGCCGUUUCUCAGCAAUGACGGCCCUGCUCACGGCCUUGUUGUCUAAUGAUAGUCUUGCUAAUGAUGCGUUCGCACACGCACAUGUAUAGCGGUAACGAGAGACUAUUUUACCUACCAGUUCUCUAUGGUUGGGCAUCGUUCAAGCCAGAAACAUUUAACAAUAAAUCGUUCGAUCUUGAGUAAAAAAUUAAAAGUGGAAAGUGAAAAUUAAUAGUCUGUAACACACGAAGUUCUUCUACAUUUGAAUAGUUAUCUAAGACAAAGGAAUCCUUUAAGUUGAUGUAUAAAUACAUUGAAUUUAAAACAUCAUGAAAUAUGUAAGAUACUUAUUUUUUAAAUUGAUACGACAAAGAAUAAAGAAAAAAUGAAAAAUAAAUAAAGGAUCUCAUCUUAAUCUUCGUGAACCUUUAUAACUAAGAAACAAUACUCAACUCUAAAGACCGGAGGAGAAAAACUUGUUGUGACCCCCUUUUACAAUGUUCAAUAAAAUGAUGUUCGGUAUUCAAUAUGCUAUGUUCAGUAAUAACUCACGCCAUUGUCUCAAGUAACGAGAGAAUCAUCUUGACAAUAUUAAAAUAACAUAACAAAUAAAGUAAUAAUAUAAUAUUGAAAUAAAAAUUGGCAGCAGCGCUCCCUCGAAAAACACUCUGCAACUCUCUCUUAUAGAUCACGACUUCAAUUUCAAAAAUCAAUAAAAAUGGACUUAAUAUCAAGUUCUUUUUUUUCCCCUACAGUUUUCAAUUUUUAAUAGAAACCGAUCGAGUACAAACCGAUAGAUGAACAUAAAUUCCACUAUCGUAAGAAUGGUAGCGAGCGUUACACGACGCAUGAAUAAACGAAUAAUCAUACGUAUACACCGAUAACAGUAUCUCGAAUAAAAUCGUCAGUCGCAUAAUUACUCGAGAGGCACAGCCAAGAUAAAGCGGCUUGUUAAGAAACGUAACGAGCAGGUCCAGAGAAAUCAGCGUGCAAAGCUCGUGAGUCCACGCUUGUCUAUCUAUAGUACCGGCCGUAUUCUGUCGCGUGAUGCAACUUUAUAAGCACGAGGUCCUUCGAAAUAAUUCGGAUAGCGCGGCGAAAGAGUAACAGAAGCAAACAUCAUUCUUCUUUCUCAAAAUUUAAAGGAAUGGAGCUUCGAGUAUCUAUAAUAUAUCUUGAGGCUGAAAAAUGAAGAACGAGAUAUUUUGACUAAGGAGAGAUAUUUAAAUUAUUUAUCAGAAUUUAUUAAUUAAUAAUUACAAUUAUUAUGUGAAUAUUUCGGACGUUGAAAUGAUACAUUGAAGUAAAAAAGAUUGAAAAAUGUUGUAUUAAAAGGUUGCAAGAUGAACGAACGAAAUAAGGAUACAAAAAACCAAAGAAAUUAAUACAUACGUAUCUAUUUUCCACUGGAUCUCUUAUUUAACUUUAUGAAUGAUUGUAUAACGAAGUAAAAACUUCAAUAAAUGUCCCAGAUUUUUUUCUUUCAGAUUUUUUGAAAGAACACUAAAAAAAAGAAACAGACUUAAAUAUAAAUGCAUAGAAUUUGAUGCGGUCAGAAAAUCGAAAAAAAAAAAAAAUCCAAAAGAUUCUGCAACUUUAUGCCGCAUCCGCAACAACCUUGACGUGGAAGCCUUAUUUUUAUAUCGAGAAACACGAUGUAAAGGCUUCGUGACACCGUACACUUGUAUGAUUCGUUCAAUUACAUUAACUGUCUGUUUAAACCAUGACACACAAAAAUGGAAAACAUAUAGAAAUCAAACAGAGAAGUUUAAAAAAUGACAGAAUAUUCUUUGCUCCAAUGAAAAUACCGAUCAAAUGCUUGAAAAUUCUAUAAGAAAAAUUACUUCGUUUAAUGCCUGAACAAAUACUAUUUAUACGAGGAAUCAAAUGUAAAUAUUUAUUCAUUUCUUUAUUUAAUUGAAAUGCAAAAUAGAAAAUGAUUAUACUCCAUCUAUUCUCAUUAUUUAUUUCUUAAACAUUGGAAAUAAAUUAAAGUUUUUAUAUGUUAUUUUAUACAUACACGUAAUAGUAUGAUUUCAAUAAUAGAUUACGUGUGAUAAUAUUAAAAUUAAAAAAAAUUACUUGAAAUAAUAUCUAUAUUCUCACAUAUCAAUGAGAUAUUCCUUUCAAAAUAUCAUUUUUGUAUACUGAUAUUAAAAAAGUAUAUUUGAAAUAUUAUCUUUUUGUUUAAUUAUUAUAUAUUUCAAAGAAAAAGUAAUUUACAAAAUAACAUACAAAAGGAAAUAGGAAAAAAAAAAUAUUUAUUCUUCAUUUCAAAAUAUAUUUUCAAAGAAAUAAAUAUUUGAUGAUGAAAGAGUCGUUUCUCUAAACCUACAUCUCGAUCAAGAUCUACGGAUUCUUACACGGCCUCGUUUUUACUUCUAAAUCACACACGAGCGUCUCUAAAUUACUGUCACUAUUAUCUUAUCGUGCAGUCCCUUUUACAGAAUCGUAAAUACUAGUUGCACAGCGUAGAGGAACGGCCACGUGCCCCGACGUGUCGUCGCUGUAAAUUAUUCAAAACCGGCACAAUAAUGAGUAAGCAACUUAUGAGUAGAUAAGCCUCGCCUUGCCACUUAUUACCAUACCUCGACGAUGCUAACAAGUAGCGAGCAAACUUUGCUUCGAGAAACUCAAUUUUUUCCUUUUCCCAAUACUUUACCACGCUUUAUAUCUACCAUAAUUCCUUCACUUACGAAUAAACCAGUGUAUAUUUACUUUUAAAUACUUAUUUUGUGCAACAUGUAAGUAAAUAUUACAUUUUUUCAAUCUUUUUUUCACUCGUUCAAUUCCGCGUCUGAAAGCAAUGUCUGAAUUUAUAUAUGAAUAUCUACGUUUGAAGUACAAUCGCGUCAAUAUUGUCUUGUAUUUUUAUUAAUAAUUUUAAUUGAAUAAUAUCAUUUCUAUACAUUUUAUCAAUUGAUAUUUCCAUAACAUUUUAAAAAUCCGCGAUAAGAAUAUAAGGGGGAAAAAAAAUUGUGACUUGCUUAAAGUUGUUCAAAAUGAUUUCAAGGUCAAAUAAAUGGCAGUACAAUCUCUGUCUCUCGCAAUAAUAAAUUUUAUCUAUAAAUAUUUUUCCAAAUUUUUUUCUUAAUUAUAUAUAUAUAUCUUUUUUUAAGAUUUUCUUCUUAGAUUUCUAUAAUAUAAAUUAUUAUGUCGAUAACAUAGAUAUAUAUCUAUAUUUUAGGAAAAAAAAUUUUUUUUUCUACUUCUCCAAUCUCUUAUCUUCAAAUAUCUACAGGAUAUCUACAAUAUCUAUAUUUCCACCAAUCUAAUCUAACGCAUUAAGAAAAUCCUAAUUAAUUUAUCUCUCAUUUAUUAUCCGCUCAAAUAACCAUCCACCAUCCAUAAUCUCAUUACAAAGCACAAGCAUAAUCGCUGUUCAGAAAGGUUCAACCCAAUUCUAACCCAAUAACGUGUGAAAAGAAAGUUGCAUCCAAUACGCUUCGAGACGGACCUUGUUCCAACACGACCAAGGUUCUGAUCGAUAAAACGGAAGCAACGGGACGUAUACGAGACCAAAGGAGCACCGCCAAGGGCGCGGAAGACUUGGGAACGAUCAGGAUCAGGAUAGAUGAAGAUAUCCGGAGGAUGGUGUUUCGCGUCGCGACGAGGUCAGAGAGAAGCGAAGAAAGAGAAGGCUGGGCUUGUCGUUUCGCCGCAAACCCGAAAAUAUCCAUGUUGGCCGGUAUGUUGAAACCUGGCAUAAGCUUUGGCCGGUUGCCAGAAGAGCGGUACUCGGUUGGAGGCCACGCCAGGCCAGAGGCGACCGGCCUCGUCGCUUCGAACGUCCGUCCGUUAGGCCUCCUCGCGAAAAAAGGAGAGGGGAAAAAAAAAGUGAGGAGGAGAAAAAAUAACGAGAAGACCCAUAGGCUGUGCCUCGUAUACCGUGGAACAACGUAGAAAUGAUGCUUCCAGAGGAAUGAAGUCGGGCCACAAAAUUGAUAGUUGACUUAUCACCGAAUUACCCUUCGGUCAUUUUUAAUCAUUCGUUGACCUUUUUUUUUUUUUUUUUUUUUUUUUAUAACUGAACAUCUCUAGUUAACUGGGUUUAGUUCUUUCUUUUGGGCAAACUUGAUAAGCAUUAGGAAAACUAUGUAUACUUUGAUACUCUUGAUAGUACGUAUACUUUUAUUACGAUAUUUUUCUUAGGUUUUUAUAGAUUUUUGUAAAUUUUUAUAGGUUUUUGCUUUUUUAUGUUGACAGAAAAGAAGAAUGAAGAAGUUUUGUGAAAAUUUUUUAAAUUUAAUUGGUAUUUUUUAUAUUUUUGACGAAAUAUUUAUUUAAUUUAAUACAGAUUAUUGCUGAAAUUUGUUUCUUAUGAAUUUUUAUUUUUAUCGAUACAAAUAUUUAAUAUUAUUUCAAAAAGUUUAUAAUAAUAAUAAUAAAUUUAGUUUAUUUGAAUUUUUUUUAAUCAUUUAUGAAUAUUAAAAUUCCAAAUAAGAAGUUUAUAUUUCAAAUAUGAUAUUGAUCCUCAAUAAAGUAUUUAACAUUCUAAAAAUUCCCUAAAUCACACAUUUGAUUAUUAUAUCAAUUGUGAAUAACGAUUAAUAUCAAUAUUAUUCACAAACAGUUUAAUAAUAUUUAAAAAUUAUCAUAAAUAUUUUAAAUAAGGAAUUAAAAUAUCUUACAUUAAUGGAUUUUCUUCAUUUGAUACAUAUAAAUAAUGAAACACUAAAGUAUGAUUAUUUUAAAUGUAUUAUCAAUUAAUUCUAAAACGAGUGACAUGCUUGUUAUAGUAAAACACGUGAUGAGUUCGAUUCCACCCACGGCUACUCUUUUCAGAUACCCGUAAAUUCGCAAUUUAUUUCUAUUUCUGCAAUGACAAAUGUCAGUCCUUGAGCGAAGCUAUGACGUAACGCUUUAUCUCAGUGUCAAUCUUGAAAUUAAUGUUCAACUACAUCGCGUGAAAGUGUCGUACACGAUAAUUACGACCGGUAAACUGCUUGGUCAUUAAAUAUGCACCAAAAAAUGCCUCUCCCGUGCAAUUUAAUAGCUACGAUAAAUCUCAUUUAUAUCUAAGUAAUCGUUUUUAAGUAUAAUUUUCUCAUACGGAUUUUCGUAUUAUCUUAGUAAUGAGUAAUAAUUUGAAUAACGUAAUGAAUAACAAAAUUUCUUUCUUAAAAAUAUAUUAAUUUUUUUCUAAAAAUAUAUAUAUAUAUAUGUAUAUAUAAAUAAAUAUUUGUAUAUUUAUAUGUUUAUAUAUAGUGAAUGAAAUUAUAAGAACGCCGUCUUAUCAAAUUUAUAAAACAUGGAUCAAAGAUAAGCUAAAUGCGAUAACUAUAAUACAUACGAUAAUCAUAAAAGCAAUCGACGGAUAGUCUGAAAUUUUUAAACGAGUUUAUGAUGAAGCGUCAUAACAGAAAAACUUGAGUAUGAAAAUAGUGAUAACGAUAAUAGAUUUUCUUUUCUGUAUAUUUUAUUAUCUUAAAGACGUAUUUCGUUUGCGCCUUAUAAUAUGCGCCUCAUAAUGUAAUAUUGAUAAAAAAAUAAAUAUAAAUUAAAAUACAUGAGUUUAAAGGUAAAAUAAAUUUUAUAUAAAAAUAGAUGAAUUUUGUUCGAUUACAAUUUUUAAUUCAAACAAUAAAUUAUCAUCGAAAAUUUAAAAAUUCAAAACAUACACAUAUAUAUCGAAAAAUUAAUUUUAAAAUAAUAACGACGUAAUAAUUAUAAACUAUUUAUAAUCAUUUUUACAAUCACUCACUUUAAUCAUUUGAUGUCACCUUACAAUAAAACCUAUUUCAUCGCGAACAGCGUAUGAAAUUGGUUACAAAAUUGAAUGGGAAGUAAGCCAUUACGUUGAGUCAGGGAACUGUCCUUAAUUUACCGGUUCUAUAUUUCGAAUUAUUGAUACAACGUUGUUAACAUAAUUAACUUCUAUAAGAUUUCCAUGCUUUCACUUUCUUUUCUAUAUAACGACAACAAAUAGAUUUUAAUCUAUUUUCUUUUAUUUUGUUCUUUUCUAUCGUUACCAAUAGACAAAACUUGAACGAAUGCCGCGAUUGCGCAAAGCACAAUUACCUGAGCUAGACUCGAACCUUAUUCCACAGAUAAUGCAGUUCGACAAGAAAUUCAAAUUAUUUGUUUCUUGAAAUGUACUUUGUCUAAUUUACAUUUUACACGUCAUACGAUAUAAAUUGAUAUGCAAAUUAAUAUAAUAAAAAAAAUAUUGACGUUUCAAGAAAAAACUAUAAUAAGCUUUGAAUAAUCGUUUAAGUUAAUUAUUAAGUCAAUUUAACAACUGAACAAUUAUCAAAGUUUGAUACAAUAUAAUUUCACUUAUAAAGCUGAUGUAAAACUAUAAAUGUCAAUAAGAUACUAUUGAACGGCAAACUAAAUAAAUACUACGCAACUAAUAUUUUAUUUCAUUCUCCCUCCUUUAAUAUUAUUCCCCCACUCUAUUCUUUUCGUAAACUUGAAAGAACACGCAUUUUUAAAAACUCAAAACAAUGAAAUAUUACACAUUAAUAUCAAUAAAUUGAAACACAGUUCAAGAGGAAAACGAUCAUAUAAAUAAUUGACUUUCGAUAAAUAUAAAUUAAUAGUUUUAAUAUAAAAUUAUCAAUUAUGAAUUUAUUAUUUCGAAUUUACCACAUGAUAUUAAAAACGUAUGUUUCAUGGUCAAAUCGAAAAGGUUAGUAAAUCGUUUCGUAAAAUAGUCGUAUUGAGCCGAACUAAACCGAACAUAUAGAUUGAGCAAGUGAAAGUGAGGUUAGGUUGGUAAUAUCACGUGGUGCACCACGGGGUCCAAACGAGGUUAAUCGAGAGACCAAGAACCGAGCGCCGGCGCAACCAAUGAACAUCAAAUGUAUACUUACUAUUCUAUAUUUCUUUUUUUUACAGCCAAUUGUAACGAAAUUUUUUAAAAGAACUUUUGUUUUUCACGUUUUUUAGUAUAUUAUUGAGUAUCAAUGAAGAAAAACAAAAAAUAAAUAAAAAUAAAAAAUUUAAAUAUUACAAUAAAGAUAUCCGUAUUCAAAAAAAAUAUUUAUGACAAAGUGAUUCGUUAAUGGAAUCAAGGGAAAAAACAUGUUUGUUCAUAUUCGUUCGAUCGCCGCUAGUCAGCGCUGAAGUAGUAUUUGCGCGAAUUUCGAAGAAAAGAAAAAAUGCGCGUUCUAACAAGACGAAAGAACUAGGAGGAGGAGGGGAGAUUAUCGAGCCUACAUAGUAGAAUAUUCUUCUAAAAAAAAUUAUAUCUUACAAAUUAAAUAGGAUCAUAAUGAUACUUACCAAUCAAUGGAAAAAUACUAGGUUGAUCGAGCAGCGACUUGAGACUGUUUUCAACAAGAGUGGGAGAAGAACGAUCCUUGUCACUCAUUUCACGCACUGCGCCACGAAGCCGCACGUUCUGAAGGUACACACGCACACACAAUCCGUUCGUAUACGGAACACCGCACGAAAGAACGAACGACAGAUAUAGAUAGACUUUCUACGUGUAUACACGGAAACUAAAAGUGUGUACGCCGAGCAGAAACAGCACACACACGAAUGUAACAAAGUAAUAACAACGAGCACGCAGGCAACGAGAACGAUGUGCCUCCCGUGGGACACAAUUAAAUGACGUUCUUCCAGACCGGCAGAGAGAAAAGGCGCCCGCACCCAAACCUCUCACCUCGUCACGCUGUUUCUACUAUCACCCGAGACGGUCGCGGCCCGUUCGAACACUCUGGCCACGUUAAAAUAAACGCGGAGCGCUACCCAGUGCACGGUGUUCUUGAAAAUCAAUCUAAAAGUGGAUCGGUUAGUGGCGCAAUCUCCUGGCUACCCUCUGGACCGACUCGCGAACAAGUGAACGACGCCUGCCGUUCUGAUAACGAACACUGUCUGUACUUCUGCCUUAUCGCGAUGCGCGCGCAUUCAUCCGCCCUCCUCCUCCUCCCCCUUCUUUAUAACAUGGUUUCUUGACCAUCAUCAGCAGUUUUCGUGAAAUCUUCGAUCUUACUAUGUUUUUUCCUUUUUUAUUAUUUCAGAUUAUACGAAUAUGAAUUUUCAAAUACGAUGAUAUAAACGAUAUAUAAUUUUUUUUAUUUUUUUCUAUUAGAUUUUCUUUGUGAAUUUGUUAAUUCAGUGUUAAUUGUGAUUCGAAAUCAAAAAGGCUAUCAUUCAUUUUUCUUUUUGAAUUUAAAGAGAUUCUUUUUUAUUAUUUAUAGAUUGUUAACAAUAAACAAUUGUACUAUAAUUGAUUGUAAUACAUCUUAUAGAAUCUAGAUAAUUUUAGAUAAUUUUUUGAUACACGAUGUACAUAACAAAAAAUAAUGAUAGAUUUAUAAAUUUGUUACCAAAUAAUGAAAAUAAGAUGUAUAAGAAUUACAGAAAAAAUGUAAAAUUAUUAAGAAUUAAUAAAUGUAUUGUUGAUCAAAUUGAUCUGCCACGUGCAAAUGAAAAUUAAAUUAGAGAAAUAUAUAUUUAAAACAGAUAUUAUCGGAAUUAUCAAAGCAAUUAUAAAUGAUAAUAAAUAAAAAUCUAAUAAUUAUAUGAUUGUUUUAUGGUUAAAAAAAACUUUCAAAAUAUUGGAUGCUCAAUAUUUUACUAUACUUAUAUCAUGCUUUAUAUACAAAUCCAUGAAAACAAAAACAGAAUACAAUUUUAAUGACUUGUGUGAUAAUAAUACUUUUUAAGUACAAAAUUGAACACUGUUGUGGAAGUUGAAAUUGUUUGACAUAUUUUUAAGUAUCUAAAAAGUAUAAUAUUAAUAUAACAUAUUAAUAUUUGAUAUGUUUGUCAGUUAUUUUUGAUAAUACAAAUGUUGAAGAUAUUUUUUAUAAAAUAUUUUGCACAUAACUAUCAAAAAUUAUGUACAUUUCUCCUAUUAAAUUAAAUGUAUUAAAUGUAAAAAUACUAACUAUACUUACAUACAUAUUAACCUUCUAACAAAGCUCUGAUAAAAUUUGUAUUCUCUUCUUAUAGCAUCAAACUUAAAAAAUGAACAUUAAAUAAAUGAGAAAUGGAAAAAUAUUUUAAAAUAAUAUAUUAAUUGCUUAUAUUAUCUUUAUUCCUAAAUUGUUUUAAAAUUUUUUUCUUGAAAGUUAAAAUUUACUGAAAAAAAAAAACAAAUAAGAUGCAAAUUGAAUGAAGAAUUUUUUUCUAAAGAAAAAAAAAAAAGAGAAGAAAAAGAAUUACAUUAUAUAAAUACUAUUGUACUAUCCAUGUUUGAUCAUCUGUUCGUUCACAUUUCAAUGUAUCAAAAGUACAUUCAUCAGAGCUAUCUCGUUUAGAAAGUAUGUAUAUCGCUCGUAGAACCAUUUAAACCCAAACGCUUAAAGAUUCGGUGGCGGUUUGGGAGAUAAAACUAUUACGCUGUUUAUGAAAAAGAGCUUGAAUUUCAGCUGGAGUUGAUGACCAUCUACGGUGUCUGGCUUUUUCUACAGAUAUCUCAGGUAAACCCACUUCUUGAUAACCUUUUAUAGGAGAAAUUGAUAAUGCAUUAGGUAAACCAAUUUCUUGAAAAGAACUCAUAGAAGAAAAUCCACUCUCAUCCUCAACACUGCUUACACUAGCAGCUGGCUUUGAUUUCGAAGACUGGUCUUUCUCCUUUUCUGCUUUUCUAUCAUGCUUAUUUGGCGUCGAUGUUGGCGUACAUGAGAAAAUAUGAUCAUUUGGCAUAGAAACAUUAAAGCAAUUAUUAUUAUUUGAAAGUACAUCCUCUUCUUCAGUGGUUUUACUACUUCCUGAGUUAAGUGAAGUGGCAUCAAGAGAUCUUCUAAUACCGGGAAGAAGAUUCUGCAAAUUUUGAUCAAUUUCUGUGAUGUUCGAUGAUGAUUUAAAAAAACAGAUUCUAUUAUCAUUAUCGGUAUUGCUCGAUUCAUUUCCACGAUUGCAAUUGGAACGUUUAUUAUAGGUGCCAUCUUCCCGUAAACUCGUGGAAUUUAUAAAACUAUCAUUCUGCAAUGAUAGUGAUAUCUCGUUGUGAUGAUUAUUAUGACGAUGAUGAUCUAUAGGUGAAGGAGAAUUAUUUUCUAUCGACAAAAUCCUAAAAAGAUCGGGCUCUCUCAUUGAUAGCAACGAUUGAACGGUCCUCAUUAACCUGAAACAAUUAAUUUAUAUUAUUUCAUUAUUUUAAAAUAUUAAUAAUAAUUACAUAUUAAUAGUAAUUAAUAGUAAUUAUAAAAUUAUUUCAAAAAAAUAUAAUUAUUUGAAAUAAAUAUAUAGUUACUAACCUGAAUGCUUCUUGAGAUAAUUUUUCAGGUGGUAUAUCAUUCGGAUCAAUCUCUGAUUGUUUGGGUCUUCUAUAAAUAAUACCGUCAUGAGAUUUAUUGAGAUCUUGAGAUUUAUUACGUGGAGGAGUACAGUGUGUCGGAUCAUUUCUACGAAGCAUUGACCAGGUAAAUUCACGAUAACUCGUGGUACAUGGUGAGAUUUGUGUGACUGAUUUCGCCCUCAUGAAAUGAGAAGAAGAUGUUGCUGAAACAGCGCGAUUCGGCGAGGAAUCCGCAUGAACAGCAUGAACACUACGGCUACGUGGAACUCGUCCCAUUGAAUUCUUAUCUUUGAGAUUAUUCUUCUCAUGAAGAAUAUCCAAGCUUUUGCGAGCCCGAUCUAAGAAACGCACCACUUGCUCCAUUAAAGAACGGUACAUUUGUCUAUUCGCCUCUGUCUGUAAUAUUUUUUCCAAAUAAAUAUUUCUUUAUUUUAUUAAAUAUUUAAUAUCUAUAUAAUAUUUUUAUUUAUAUUAUAUUUGAAUUUUAUUUAUUGUAUCAUAUUUUAAAUUUUAUUAUUUGCUCAUACAAUUGCUUAUAUAUGUUUGAUUAAAAUUUAAAAAUUUUUCACAUAAAAUAAAGUACCAAAAAUAAUACUUGAAUAUUUUUUUCAAAGUCAAACAUAAAAUAUUCGAGAAAUGGGAAUAAGGUAAUCUGGUCGAGGACAUCAACAAUUUCCUCUUGUAAAUCAAGUAUGUUAAACGUUGUUCACGGUUGAAUACAAACCUGUUUCAGCUGCCAUUGCAAUGUUUCAACCUGUGUCUGAAGGAAAACACUGUCGAUCACUUGUACAUGAGGUAUUUGAUUGCUUGUUAAAACGUUCUGUAAUUUUUGAUUCUCUUCUAUCAAUGUUUGGCAUUGCUGAAACAAAAAUAGUAAAAUUAAUUAUUUUUUUAUAUUAAAUUUCUAAUUUUUGUAUGUUUAUAUUUAAUGAGGAAAGUGUCCAGGCUCUCGAACGACUUUCCUGAACGUAAUAAUCGUUUCAAAACAGUAAAGAAUCAUGAUAUGAUGUAUAUGUAUACACGCGUUAAUACAAGGUUUCACCUUGCGUAGGAGAUUUUCACACGGUGGAGUGAACACGAAUCAAACGUUAGAGUAUGUUUGUUUAUUACGUGGACAUUGCUUUUCCAUGUAGUGACAUAUUUUAUUUAAAAAAAAUACUUUGAUUUAAUAAAUUUAAAGUAUAAUAAUAAGUAUUAUUUCAUUUCAAUUAUGAAAUUAUCAUUAAAUAAACACUUAAACAUCUAUGAACAGCUAUUUCAAAAACUUCAAUAAUAUAUCGAUAUGAUACUACUAUUCGAAUGGACCUUUUUGUAACAUUUGCAUAUUUCUUUCUUUUCGGUGACCGAGUCGCGGAGGACGGGAAUAAAAGAAGUUCGAAGAAACACGAGGUUUCUGACAUUUCCAUACAAUGGCGGGAAAAAUACGGUAAAAUGAAUAAAGAGAUCCCCCUAGGACAGAAACGUCUGAAGGAAAUCCUGUCUUGAGCGACAAGAGGGUGCAACCCAUAGGGUGCAAGCUUCUAUAUAGUAUAUGAAUUAUAUAAUAUAUUAAUUUUAUCCUUCGAGAUCGUAAAACUGUACGAAUAUUUAUUUUCCAAAUGAAUAUAUGUAUGUAUAAAACAAAGAAAAAAUUUGUAAGAGUUAAAUACAAUUAUAACUAGAAAAACGGCACUCGUAAAAUGAAACGGAUUACGAUAGUAUCGAUAAUAAAAAUUAAGAAAUUUCCAAAAAAAAGUAUAGCCGAUUAAGGACGAUUUUCAAAAGAUUUAUUCUUGAACGCGAAACGAAAUCCAGUGCAACUGAUUUAAAACGCAUGAUCACGGAGGAAUCAGAAAUGUGAUACGAUCUAGAAAAUAUAUGACAGAAUGAAGCCGUGCAAGAAUAAGAAAGAGAGGAAGACAAAUGUGCGAGGAGGAGAGACAAAUGCAUUAAGGGGUGAUUCCAAAAUGGCGCACCUCCGCCGUCAAAUUUAUUUUUGGUGCAUUCCAGUCAAACGAAUACAGAGAGAGGUCGGUCCAGCCGACUGGUAAUGUACAGACGAUGUUUCGCUAGGAAGAUCCGUUCCCAUCUUCUUGUUGGAAUACUCGAAUUAUUUUUCUUUUUUCCUUUUUACUCCUCUCUCUCUUUUUCUCGUCCCUCGCCAUGCUCUCUUUCCAUUUCCGCCGUGGUUACCGCUGCAUACUCGAAGAUCGCGAAAGAAAUCUUCGCUACGAUGUUCCUUUUCCCGCCUCUCCGAAUAUCACCGAUGAAGAACGAUUGUGACCGAACGUGCGCGUUUCGUCGAUUUUAUCGUUCGGUUAAUUAUUAAAACAAAUAACACCAGUGGUAAUCGUAUUCGCUCAUCGACGUUUUUCUUACGAUAAGAUUUUUCAUUGAUAAAAUACACACGGGGAACUGUUGGAAACAAGAAGUACUAUAAUUAAUAUUCCGAUUAUUGUUCCGCGGAAAAAGCACAUUAAUGGAAGCUUAAGUAAGAGAACCGUUGGUGGAAAUAUAUGUUACUGUGUUUACGGUGAAUUGAAGAAGAGGUUAUGUUGAAAUUAGUUUUGUGUUUGAUUGAUCUUGUAUAAUAUUCAGCUAAAUAUAAUAAAGAGAUUGAAGAAUAAGAUUCGAGUGUAUAGAAAAAAAAUAAAUAUUUAUAAAUAAUAAAAAUAUUUAAAAGACA